ACGCUGGCGGCGUGCUUAACACAUGCAAGUCGAACGAAAAAGAGGGAAAGAGCUUGCUCUUUUCCGGAAUUGAGUGGCAAACGGGUGAGUAACACGUAAACAACCUGCCUUCAGGAUGGGGACAACAGACGGAAACGACUGCUAAUACCGAAUAAGUUCCAAGAGCCGCAUGGCCCAUGGAAGAAAAGGUGGCCUCUACCUGUAAGCUAUCGCCUGAAGAGGGGUUUGCGUCUGAUUAGCUGGUUGGAGGGGUAACGGCCCACCAAGGCGACGAUCAGUAGCCGGUCUGAGAGGAUGAACGGCCACACUGGAACUGAGACACGGUCCAGGCUCCUACGGGAGGCAGCAGUGGGGAAUCUUCCGCAAUGGGCGAAAGCCUGACGGAGCAACGCCGCGUGAGUGAUGACGGCCUUCGGGUUGUAAAACUCUGUGAUCCGGGACGAAAAGGCAGAGUGCGAAGAACAAACUGCAUUGACGGUACCGGAAAAGCAAGCCACGGCUAACUACGUG
rnacentral:rRNA from 1 species